UGUACUGGCCGAUGUGAAGAGAUCUACACCAGGACAGGCAUGGUGGCCGAGUGGACUGGAUUCCUUGGCCUGAUAAUACACCAACUAAUGAACUAUACAGAUUUCCAGCGUUUGUCUUUAACGUUGUCCCGAGAAGGUGUCUCCAUUGGCCUGAGAGAAAAGACCCAGGACCCUGAAAACCCCCAAUAAGAUCCAAGGGGUGGAGCGCCAAGACAACUGAAACCAUCAUGACAUUGCUGGACAUGAAUCUUCUGGAUCAAGAGGCAGAUUCCAGGCUUGGUCUCUGUCCUCAAUACUGGAUGUGACAUUUUACCGGACUUUCCUAAUACCGGAUUUGACAUUUACCGGAUUUUCUGGAUUCAACA